rnacentral:rRNA from 1 species
GAUGAACGCUAGCUACAGGCUUAACACAUGCAAGUCGAGGGGCAGCAUGGUCUUAGCUUGCUAAGGCCGAUGGCGACCGGCGCACGGGUGAGUAACACGUAUCCAACCUGCCGUCUACUCUUGGACAGCCUUCUGAAAGGAAGAUUAAUACAAGAUGGCAUCAUGAGUCCGCAUGUUCACAUGAUUAAAGGUAUUCCGGUAGACGAUGGGGAUGCGUUCCAUUAGAUAGUAGGCGGGGUAACGGCCCACCUAGUCUUCGAUGGAUAGGGGUUCUGAGAGGAAGGUCCCCCACAUUGGAACUGAGACACGGUCCAAACUCCUACGGGAGGCAGCAGUAAGGAAUAUUGGUCAAUGGGCGAGAGCCUGAACCAGCCAAGUAGCGUGAAGGAUGACUGCCCUAUGGGUUGUAAACUUCUUUUAUAAAGGAAUAAAGUCGGGUAUGGAUACCCGUUUGCAUGUACUUUAUGAAUAAGGAUCGGCUAACUCCGUG